UAUUUUUUCGAUCAGACGAACGAUGUGGAAAAAUUUCCUUUUCAAAAUUUGCAGCUAUCUCUCUCGCACUCACGGUUGUGAUUACCGACUGAUCAUCUUAGAGGAGAUCGCUCAUCGGCAAAACAAAAAUCUCUCGAUGAGAUGAAACAAAAAGAUGUUUAUGAAACUUCACCAGUUCAUUUAAGUGAUCUUAAGCCAUUUUUAUGUUUAUAAUGUCUGCUAACCGGAAUCUCAGUACUUUAAAAUUGACUGCCUAUGCUUCGAAUGCAAUACCGAAUUAUGACUUGAUAAGCAAAUUAUUGAAAAUUCCGAAAAUGGAUGGCGUGGAGGAAUUCAAAAAAUUGAGUUUUCUACAUACUUCGGAAUUCGCGAUAUUGGAGAAAAAUAUGCCAUUUCCAGAAAAACGGAUUUUGAAUAUACCUCACAAAAGGAUGAACAAUUGGAAUAAUUACAUAGUUCACUCUCGACAUCCCGAUAAUCUGGAAUCAUGGCGCGACGAGUGUAAAAUUCCAGACAAUUGGAUUGGACCGGAACUCAAGAAAAAUAGUUAAUUUUUGUAACAACUUAAAUUUAAUAUUGAACUAUUUUUGAACAAAGGUAAAAGCAACAACCUCACUUUUUUAUACAGGUUGAACUUUGUUGAAAACUAAACGAUAAACGGUGAAUAGCUUGAGUGAGAUGUUCACGUAACACCGAAUGAUCAGAAUAACGAACGAUUAACAAAAUUUCUUCAUUAGGAACAUUCAAAUAUAUAAUAUAUUCAAAAAGA